UCUCUUUCUAGGUCCUGUGCCUACUCACCCCACCAAGCCUCCAGUUUACAAGUACCCAGGCUAUUCUGAUCCUCGUGGAGGAAUAUAUGGCCAAGAAUUAGAUGCAUGGAUUAUUGCUCUGAUUAUUAUUACUUCAAUUGUUGGCGUUGCUGUGAUUUUUCUCAUCAUACUGCGGUGUCUUCAGUACAGGAAGAAAAG